UAGUAAAAUUACUUUCAUCUUUCAUUGCUUA
rnacentral:piRNA from 1 species